GCAUGAUGAGGAGGGUUUGAAACUCUUAUAGAAUACGCCUAGAUGUCCUUCCAAAGGUUUGAUUAUGUGAAUUUUGGAUGAAGUAGUAUGAAUUCGUAAACAUUUGGGAAAAUACUAUUGGUUUUCGGAGAUUAUUCCUUUUCCCCAAUCUCCAUUGUCCAACACAUUUGGAAUUUUCUCAACAACAAUCCAAAUUUGUACAAGUUGUUGUUUGAAAACCCUAUCCUAAGCUUGAAUUCAAAUUUUUUCCCUACUGAAAAUCCCAAAAAUACCCCCAAUUUCUCCUAAUCCCACAUCAGUGGAGCUUAAGAGGGGACCCUAAUUUUGUUUCUAUAAAAAGAGCUCACUAUUGAGCCAAGAGAGAGUCGGGAAAAAUUUUGGGAAAGCUGGAAGAGAUAAAGAAUUUGACUCAGAGGACAAGAAAUUUCUUUAGCAGAGCUAUUAGAAAAAGAGAAAGAAAAAUAGUUUUCGAGAGGAAAAGUGAAUUUUUCUUUAGUAAAAUUUUUUUGAGAAAAGGAGUCGACGAGUCAAAUUCUUGCGGUGACUACGAUAAUUUUUGGUGGUGGUCAAGAUCCCGGCAUCAGUUUGUAAUCCCGUUUUGCUGCUCUGAAAGAGGUAAACAUGUUUUUCCAUUUUUUUCCUAUUAUCAUUUUCUUUUCUCUCUUCUUCAUCUCCUUCUGGUAUAGUUAUAAUGUUGCUUGUCUGCUGGGAGUAGCUGUAGAGGCCUCGUCGGCUGUAGGAUUUGCUUGAGCAUGUUGUUGUAGGAUCGCUUUGUAUGAGUUCACUACUCUGUGUUACUGAUGUUACUUAUCUGUGUAUGCUUAAUAACGGAUGGGUUUAUAAUUCAUUAAAUAUUAAUGUCGAUUAGUCGUAAUGUUACAAUAUGAAUUAGCAUAUAUAAAGGUUGUCGAGAUUCUGCCCCUUCUUGUUUAGUUCAUUGUUGAGAUUCGAUGAUUUCUACGGUGAAAAUUUAACUUCCAGUUUGUUUGAUGAGCAUUAAAGAAGAGUUUCUUGAAUUAUUGUUCAUCAUUUAGACCUCGAGUUCGUCUAAAUCUCAUAAUCUAGGGGCAAAUCGGCUUGUAAAACCACUGUAGUGUUGAAAUUUUAUUAAUUCUUAUGCCAGGUUUACACUUGGAUAUUGUAGUCUGACUUGCCAUACCUUCAGCUGAUUGUCUCGUUUAAGUCCUUAAACAUCAAUUUAGUAUGGUGUUUCCUUGGUUGUGAAUGGUUUUCUACCUUUUAAUAUUGUUUUUUAGUCACUAGUAGAACUUUAAUCGAUUGUAUUCACCCGUUGCAAGUUGCCGUCUGAUUCUCUGGACCUUUAAAGUCACUAAAAAUAAUACUUGUGGGUUUACAGUACGGUUGACAAUCUUAUGAAACCUCAACGAUCUUUCCUUUGACCUUUGAAAGUUCAUUUCAAGUUGGUCAAAGAGAAGGUGAGGAGGAGCUUAUAGUAUAUUCCAUCUUGGGGUGGUGAAGCCUAAAUAUCAUUUCUUGUGAAUCCGUGUGCAUACUUACAACUUUUUUGUGCUCAUGUUAGUCUUGGAAACUUGCGUCAUUUGAUAAUUAGUUAUAAGCCGAUUCUGGUCAUCGAACAUGGACAAACUUAUGGUCUUUGAACAUGUGGUUUACCAAAGGGCUAUCUAUGUCAUAUUUUCUCUCUCGUAGAAAUCAAGACUAGGAACGAGACUCGCCCUUAGCAUGGCCUGUUCUCGUUUCCUGAAGGUCUUCUCGCCUAUAACUUUAUUGGACUAUCAAUAAAGAUAAGGCCUUUACUAUUUAAAAACACUUUUAUUAUAUUUCGUGUUGUGGAUAAAUAAGGGGUCCAUUUGGAAGGUUAAUUUUCUGUUUAGAUAAAAUGUGAGGUUAUUGAAGUGUUGGAUAUUUACCCUCCUUUGUUUGAGCCUUGUUCUACGAACUUCUUUUCAUUGGCUAGUCGAUUAUAUUCAGAAAUUGUAUUUAUUCCUUUUUGUUCUAUGUGACAUCAAGCCUAAUUCACUGUUGUAUUCAUAUACUGGAAGUUUAUAUAUUUACACCUGUGGUUUCCAUGUAUGUUACAUAAUGUGAAGUUACCUUUGUUAAACUAACUUUUCAUGCUUUAUAUACAUGAUAAUAUAGUAUUCGUUUAAAUAUUAACUUUAGGACAUAUUAAUUGCUUUAUUCCUUUUCUUUCGCAUGUGGAUACUCUCGAGUCUUACAUGGACUCUUUUCCUUUCGCAUAUCUAUCAUGGGCCAAUGAGGCAUAUCCUUCGAUUCAGGACCCGGAAGAAAGUCUAAAAUGAGUUCCAAGGCAUAAGGAGACAAGGGGUCGAAAGGAGAAGAAUGGGUUAAAAUCCCAUCUUUGAAGCUGCUAAGGGACUUGAAAGUCUCAUUUGUUAUUUUAUUUAUUCUUGUCUUUAUUUAUUUUAUUUAUUUAUUCAUUCAUUUGGUCCUCGAAGCCAAAGUUGUAUUUAAUACAGAUAAAGCAAAACUCGGGCCAAAGGUUCGAAGAAUAGUUUAGGACAUGUUAUAGGUCAAAACCUAAUAUCUAGAUUAGGACAGGUAAAAUUGGGCCGGAAGCCCAAUUAGACUAGGACAGGGUGAUGGAUUUGGUUUAAGAGCCCAAAUUAUUUAUUUCUUCCCCUCUUUACCUUUUUCUACGUUGUUUGCUUGCGAACCUAGUUAAACCUCUAACUAAGUCGCUAAAAAAUUGAUUUUGCAAAAAUUUUCAAAAUACUCCUUAAUCAACUUCUUUUCAACACCAGACUUUUUCUUUUAGAAGUUAGUCAAAAGGAAAUUAUUUUUCAAAAAAUCUGGAUAACUGCAAGUUAGCAGAAAUUUUAGGUGUCUUAAAAACCUUUCUAAAAUGUUGGAAUCGCAUACAUAGAAUUUCAAAACUUAAAUGAUUUUCCUAUUUUGAAUUUUCUAAGUACUUUAUAAAGGUUUUCUUAAUUCUUUUUCAAAUAAAUUAAGUGGCGACUCUGAAAGUCAUAUUUUCGCAAAACAGAAAUGGUCACUCUGCUGGG
rnacentral:lncRNA from 1 species